CUAGCCUCUCAUUGCGCCACGCCACUCAAAAAAAAAUCGGCCGUCCGAUCGGGCCAUCCAACGGCCAGGGAAACGGCCUCCGCCGCCGCAGCGCUCCGCCGCCGGCCGAGCCCCGCCGCGUGCGCGCGCGCCGCUGCUGCCGUUCGCCCGCCGCCGGCCCGAGAUCCGGCCGCCUGGUCGCGGCUCGCUGGCGCCAGAUCCGACCGGCGCAUGGAGCUAGGGCGGCCGACGGCGUGUGCUUAUCCCCUUCGUCACGGCUUUGCCGGCGCCCGAAGCUGCUGUUGCUGCUGCCGCCGUCAGCAUGGCCACCGCGCGCGGAUCCGGCGGCCAUCGCCCUCCUCCGCACGGAUCCGGCCGCCACCGCCCUCCGCGCCGCGCUAGGCGCGUGCGCUGCUCGAUCCGCCGGCCUGGAGCACGGGGCACGGAGCACGGGCGGAGGGAGCACGAAGCAGGGGUCUGACGCCCUCACCCGCGGGCUGACCGCCGGCUGCUGCCCUUCCCUCCCGCAGCCGCCGCCCACUCCCUCCGCGCCUCUUCCACUCCCCUCUCCCACAACCGCGCAGCUUGGCCCAGAGCCUGUUGGUCCCUUCGUCGACGCCGCCGGCAAAAUCGUCAAGCUUGGGGUCCGAUUCUAGCGGGCAGAGGAGCAAGGCCCCAUUCACCGCCUCGGCAUCCACGCCGACGAGGAGCGCUCAUGAGCUAUCGGAGGAGAACUGGAGAAGAGAGCUCAGUAGCGCCACAAACGGCUCCAGCCGCGUGCUCAAGAUCGGCCAGGGCGAGUUCGGCUCCUCCGUCCUGCCAGCGGCUGCCGCGUCGUCCUCACCGUCAAGCUCCUCAACCAGCGCAUGAUGAAGGUCACCAGCUGCUUUUAUCUGCAUCUCCUCUCUUCUCUCUCUAUUUUCCAGAAGGAAAUCUAUUCUGUUCUCUUGCUCAUGGUAGAUCUCAAAAUUGUUAUGCCCUCCUGCAUUCAGCCUCAGAUUUAGAUUUGUCAUGGGUUGUCGAUUUGGUUUAUUCUUCUAAAAGCUUCAACCUUUUUCAGGAUAUAAAUAAUAUUAUCUGAUAGCUUUCAACCAUUUUUCAGGAUAUAAAUAAAAUUAUCAGAUAGAUUUCAACCUUUUUCAGGAUAAAUAAAUAUACCAGUAGUAGCUUUCAACCUUUUUCAGUAUAAAUAAAUCCAGUAGUUGUCACAACUCACAACCAUGGCAGAGCAUCGCUUUUGUGAAAUCCCUAGAAAUUUACACCAGAUUUAUAAAAAACGAAGGCGCAGUUUCAUCGGACUUUUCACUUUCCAAAAUCUGUGUAUUGGCUAAAAUUCUCUAACACUUGUAGACCACAGGGUGAUAAUCUCUUUGUGGAUUUGUCAUGCCGGAGACAAGGUUCCCUCCCUUUGCGGGAGAGCACAGAUUUUGCUAAUGGCAGAGUCCCGCUGCCAGGGACAGGGCCUUCUAUGUGAACAUGAGCAUAACCAUGAACAUCAGGAUUUUAGCUCAUCAUGGGACAUCCGCGAAGAACGGGCAGCAAAUCGGCAAGCUCGUUGGUGCGAACAAGCGUGAGCUCGAAAAAGAAAGUGCAAGCAGCCGCUGAUGGCACAGAGCCUGCCGGAUGCGCGCGCCGGCCGGCGGCUGCAGUAAAACGCCGCUACAGAGCUCUCUCGUGCUUCUUGGCUGCUCCUGCUCCACUCGUCGGCGAUGCAAACGCUAUGCAGGCCAGCAGAGAUAGCCUAGAGGCGGCAAGCACUGGAUCCCGGCUGCCGGCACGCCGGAUCUCUCCUCGACGUCUCCGUCAUGUCGGCCUCCUCUCCUCUACUCCAUGCCAUCUUGCUUUCUUCUGCCCUGUGGUCCACUGGGUUGGUUGCUCCUGCCAUCUUCAGCAUUCAGUUCCUCUGACGCAGCGCUUGGGCAUCUUCUGCGGCUCAAGGUAAAUAGGUUCUUUCCAUCCAUAUCUCCCAUUGGGGGAUUUGUUACUGGAUUGCUGGAUGUGAAAAUAGCAGAGAAUUUGCACGCCUGCUUAUAGGUCCCUCUUCAGGGUUUGCACUACGCAAAUCAUUUGUCUGGUAUGUCGGAUAUUUGCUGAACCUGCUAGCUUGAUACUGAGCUUCAACUUUCAAGAAUGCAAAAUUUUUGCUUAAAACUUGA